CUCAAUUUAGCUCGAACAGCCCAACAUGCCUGGGCCUGUCUAUUGAAUUGGUGGGAGCAGCUGCCAGAAGCCUGUUUGCUUAUGGAUUGAGGGUCCUCUUGGGAGAGUUCUCAUUCUGAAGGCAGAAGUUGCCUGGCAACAAGUCUGACCCCUGGAGACUGACUUACCCAACGGAGGAGCAAGGAAGUCUGAGUACAGUGUGGUAUCUGUCAUCUAGAUCCAUCUCCCAGCUGGAUAACUUGAAUGGAAAUCCUCAAUCCCCUACACAAAUUACAGGGUGAAAAUAGAUGCUUGCAGAGGUGAGGACAAGGAUGCGGUCCAUUUCCAUCUCCAGCCCCACCAUGGAUCCAAAAGGAAAUCUGAAGAAAGAAAAAAGAAAAAUGGACCAUAAGACCAUGGCUUCCACCUUUUGCUUACAAAAUAUGUUCAUAAUACAUAUGUGACUUAC